rnacentral:rRNA from 5 species
UGGUGACUAUAGCAAGGAGGUCACACCUGUUCCCAUGCCGAACACAGAAGUUAAGCUCCUUAGCGUCGAUGGUAGUCG